AGGAUAAAAAUUUGGUUGAGGGAUUUCAAAAUUUUUAUAACGAGCACUUAAUGAGAACCUUGGCAAAAAAUUUUGGACGUCUCGCUACGAAAAGUUAUAAGGAGGCAUUGGCCUGUGAUUUAUAAAUUUCCAUAUUAUAGUAAACUUUAUACUAAUUUAUAAAAAAUAAUGUGAAUUGAAUCAUCUUAGUAACAUUAAAAAUAAAUCAAACGAGAUUUCGUGAGUAAUUGUGAGUGAAAACGAAUAAAAGCUUAUGAGAAGGUUUUUACUUAUAAUUCAUAGAAGGUAAAAGCCCUGUAUUAAGUGAAAACUUUCUUAAAGAUUACCUCUAAGUAACAUGAAUUUGAAUUGUGUGAAUAAAGGAGAACCACCUUCUAAGCUUAUAAUAUUUUUUGACCUAUAGUGAACGAGUACCGUGAGGGAAAGGAUAAAAAUUUCGAAUAGAAUUAAUUGAGUUGGGUGUUUAUAAAUUUUCGAAGUUUAUAACGACGAAGUGCCUUUUGCAUAAUGAGUCAGCAAGUUAAUACAUAUAGCAAGCUUAAAUACUCGUAUGAAGGCAUUCAAAGUAAUAUGUAUUAAACCUGAAACCAAGUGAUCUAGUUGUGAGCAGGUUGAAAAUACUUUAAACCGUUUUUGAGGACCGUACCCAUAUAUGUAGCAAAAUAUAGGGAUGACUUGUAACUAGGAGCGAAAGACUAAUCAAACUUGGAGAUAGCCGGUUUUUCACGAAAUGUAUUUUAGUACUACGUUAAUUAUUAUUUAAACUUAGGUUAGAGUACAAAAAAGAUAAAGGGAUGUAAGAAUUUACUGAAUCUAUUUUAACUCCGAAUAAAAGCAUAAUAAAAAUUAGCAGACAGUCUAUGAGCGAUAAGGUUCAUAGACGAGAGGAAAACAAUCCAGACCGUAUAUUAAGAUUUCUAAAUUAAAACUUAGGGAAAAAGAUUAAAAAAAGUUCAAAUAAUAUAAUUUGAUAGACUUAGAAGCAGUCUUUCAUUAGAGAAAGCGUUUUAGCUCAUUAUUUAUUCUUUUUUAAUUAAAAAUUUAGGGAAACUUUAAGUUUUAUAUCGAAAUAGCGGAUUAAUCAUACUUAAUGGUAGUGAAACGUUCUAUAACUAUUUUUUAAUUGUAAAAUUAUAAAAACUUAAGUAGAAAUGCUAAUGCUGACAUGAGUAGCGAAAGUUAUGUUAAAAAAUCAUAACCACCGUAUGUUUAAGGGUUUCAAUGUAAUUUUAAAUACAUUGAGUUAGUCGGGCCUUAAGAAGUGAAUAAAUAUUGUAUUCGAUAGGAAAUUAAAUAUUCUUUUACUUUUUAUAUGUGUUAAGAAACAUGAAAAAAAUAGAUGAGAUAAAUUUUCAUAAUAGACAUACAAGGCAAAAUUAAUUUUUUUGAUCUAUUUUCGAGAAAAAAUUAUAAUAUAAUAAACCGUACUUAAACCGACACAGGUAAACUUAUUGAAAAAAUUUUAGGUGCAUGAAAAAAUUGUAUUGAAGGAACUCGGCAAAUUAACUCUGUACGUUCGCAAUAAAGAGAACCAUACAAAUGGUAGCACAAAAUAAGAAGUAACGACUGGUUACCAAAACCACAGGACUCUGCAAAUUUGUAAAAAAAAGUAUAGGGUCUGACGCCUGCCCGGUGCUUAAAAAUAACAAAUAUAGGUGUAAGCCUAACUUUUAAAUCUAAGUAAACGGCGGUUCUAACUAUAAGAAUCCUUAGGUAGCGAAAUUCCUUGGCGGGUAAAUUCCGUCCUGCAUGAAUGGCGUAACGAUUACUUCACUGUCUCCAAUACAAAUUCAGCGAAAUUACAGUAUCUAUGAAAAUGUAGAUUACUUGCAGUAAGACGGAAAGACCCUAGAUCCUUUACUUUAAUUUUGAAUUGUAAAAACUUUUUUAUUGUAUAGUACAAGUGGGAAUGAAAUCUCAUGUCUAAUGAAAUACCACUCAAUAUUUUAACUUUUUACUAAAUUUGCAAAUAUAUAAUGCAAAAACAGUUUAAAAAAGAAAGUUUACUUGGGACGAGUACCUCCUAAAAAGUAACGGAGGUGUACGAAGGUAAAUUACACUUAUUUUUUUAAAUAAUGAAGAACGCAAUGGUAUAAAUUUGCUUGACAAUAAGAUUUAUAAAUCAAAUUGGGACGCAAGUCAGUCAUAGUGACCCGAUAUUUAAGUGUGGAAUUAAUAUCGUUCAACAGAUAAAAGGAACUCUAGGGAUAACAGAUUCAUCGUGAUUGAGAGUUCAUAUUGACUUCACGGUUUGAUACCUCGAUGUCGACUCAUCUUAUCCUGAAAUUGAAGUAGAUUUCAAGGGUCUAGUUGUUCGCUAGUGAAAAAGGUACGUGAGUUGGGUUCAGAACGUCGUGAGACAGUUCGGUCCCUAUCUACUGCAAGGAGUGAAAAAUAAGAAAUGUAUUCUUAGUACGAGAGGACCGGAAUAUUUUAACCACUAGUUUAAUGAUUGUUAAGCCUAUAGCAUAGUCAAAUAGCUAAGUUAAUUUUUAAUAAAUGCUGAAAGAAUCAAUAGCAUUAAGUAUUUUUCUUACAUUUUUCAAGAAUACUCUAAAAGAUUAUUAGAUUGAUCGGUUUAAAAAAAACUUUAGUAAUAGAUAAAGUUAAUAAAUACGAACUAUUCAAAAAAAUUUUGAAUUUAACU
rnacentral:rRNA from 1 species